UACAGAGGGUGCAAGCGUUGUUCGGAAUUACUGGGCGUAAAGCGCGUGUAGGCUGCGAUGUAAGUCAGGUGUGAAAGCCCUCAGCUUAACUGAGGAAGUGCACUUGAUACUGUGUCGCUUGAGUGUCGGAGGGGGUGGCGGAAUUCCCGGUGUAGUGGUGGAAUGCGUAGAUAUCGGGAGGAACAUCAGUGGCGAAAGCGGCACCCUGGCAUUAGCCUGACGCUCAUGUGCGAAAGCGUGGGGAGCGAACGGG
rnacentral:rRNA from 1 species